AAGUCGUAACAAGGUUUCCGUAGGUGAACCUGCGGAAGGAUCAUUAACACGUAUCCAAACGUUAAACCCCCCUGUGAACCUUCAGUCGUACUCGUACGUCCGUUAGAAAAAGCAGCAAUCCCUGCAAGGAGCGUGCAUGUUGUGCGUGUAAGUGGCCUGGCAUCCCCAAGCAGUUAGUGUCUGAAAGUGUCACUAACGUUAGUGUCUGAAAGUGUCACUAACAUGUGUAAGGAUGACGCAGUCACGAUCGUUGGAGGCCCACACGGCCGACGACCGGGUCACUGGGUGCAAGCCCCCUUAUCACACCCCUGCUCUAUCUAUGGUGAUCCUGCGGGAAGUCCUGCGGUCGAACGCCGAAACCGAACAACUGUUAACAAUGGAUAUCUUGGUUCUC
rnacentral:misc_RNA from 1 species